AAAGGUAGCUCUCCGCGGAAGACGUGUCGCUUUUGCGGAAGGCAUAAGGCCAAGUAGGUUCGUUGUGUUCUGUAUGCUCGAGGACAGCUCGGGAAGGGGGCGUCGGUCGCAGCCUCAUCUGCCCUUACCGAAGGGCGGAGUAUUGGUCUAGUUGCCGGCGCCGGGAGGAGAGGGUGGAGGCGAGGUCCUGCGGCUUAGGAUGGGUGGUGGAGGGGUGUGUACCUCGACGGUACAGGAGGGAAGACCCUGGGUGAGUGCCGGAAGCACGGUGGCAGCCUAGUGCGGGGGAGGAGCUCGGCUGAGCCACCAAGAGAAGCGGCCGCGGCCACCACCUCCGCGGCUCCUGCCAACUGCCGGACUGACACCUGAGAUAACGGCUGUUCCCGACCUGCUAGGAGCGGCUGCGGCUCUCGCUGACCGCGUCGGUGCGGCGGCGGCAGCGCGUCAGGUAGUCCGAAUAAUUCUUCGCAGAGUUCACCUUUACCAAUGACCUCUCCAGCUUCGUCAACCGACACCAUAACCUCUUCGGUCUGGAAACCCUCCUAGGUCAAAAACGACCCUUACAAUCAGCACUUGUUCCGCUCGAGUACCCGUUCUAAUUCAGUCACUUGGUUAAACUCGUUGUUAACUACCUCGUGUAGCUGUACAACUCCGAACGUGCACUUCUCCCACUGUUACUUGAGCUCUGCCUUAGGUACUCUCGUAACCGGCUAUACUCUUCUCUACGUUUCCUCUUUCUUGAGUUACGUAACGAAAGACCUCUAUUACUGCAAAUGGGAACGAAGUAACUCCAGGUUCGUCCUCGGCCUCCACAACUCUCGUACCUAACCCGACGGUACCAAUACUUGUACAUGUCUAGUACCCGAGUCGCUGCUCCUAUGUCUCAGUGACAUUAUCUUCUUUAAGGACCACUUGAUCGUCCUUAGUUCUCCCGAUGAUAGUUUCAACUACCACUCAUACGUAAACCUAUACGGUUUAGACUUUAUCCUCAAGUGUCUAAUCACGCCUAAAGAGGUAAACUGUCACCUUUCGCCGCCGUGUGAAGGAAACGACGACAACGACAUUAUGGAUAAGAACCACUCCGGAGAUCGGCUAUGGUCUAUUUGCUUAGUCUAGAAGCCUAACUUGCGAAGGCAAGACCACCUGGACCGCCGGUCGUACGGUUGUGGUGUCUUUCACGACAAUCUUAACACGUGUAGGGUUGACCAUGUUGCCGUUGAACAGUUUUACUUUCCAGUGUUGUAUACUUAUCCCGUAGUCGUUACCGCCACGAAGUUAGAUCCAACCUGGUCGAACUCUAAUGGGCAGUUCGCGUCUACUUACGUCUCGUGUGUGUUAGUGAGAGACUUUAUUCGACCCCUUUGGUUUAUUCUAGCAUACACGAUGUCGGUAUGGCAUACCACUUUCUAGAGGCCUGUUUGAUACUUCACAGACUAGGGCUAAGUCAGGACCUUCCGCUGGACCUGCUAAAGUAUGACUCGAAAAACAGUAAUAGUAACUUAUUUCGACUACUUUCACAGACUUGUGUUUGGUACAAAUAGUACAUAACAAUCGUGGUCGUCUGACACUGUCACGGGUUGACUGUCAUUCUCCCCGAUAAUAAAAGAAAUGAUGUGACUGUUUAUGUUGCCUGUAGAACUCACCGCUUUCCAAGCCACAGACCCUAUUCCACGGUAAAAAAAAACGAGUACAAGUCUACGUACCUCCGCUGGUAUAUGUGACGUUCGAAAGACAACGAGAGCGACCUCCACUUCUUACUUCGUACGCAUGCUC
rnacentral:rRNA from 1 species